AAAUCUGGAUUAAAAUUACAUCACUUGGUUUUACAAAGUCAUUAAUUACAUCAGAUGAAAGAAUACAGCAGCUGAGUGCAGAAUGCAGAUGAAACAACUGCCCUGCAGAGGACACUCCACUGUCACUUCCAAGCCCAGCAGGUGCUCAGAGGAGUGACUGUAACCAUAGAAUUGUGCUCAGUGAUACCCCAGAUGAUGAGCAGAACUUGAAUGUGAAGAUACUGAUUUUGCUGAAUCUGUUUGACAAGUGUAUUCCAGAAGCAAAGAAAUAUCAUUGAACAAGACAUUGGUGUUUUUGGUUCACAAGACGACAGUGCAGUAAUUGGAAGGCUCAAAGGAGCAGUGGAAGCCCCCCAUGCGCUGCCCUCAGCCGAGAGGGGAAUGCAAAGACGACCACGAGGCAUGAAAGGAAGUUUGCCUACACAAGAGCCUUCUCCCAGUGUAAAUACAUGCUUGAUAGUGCAUCAAAGAUGAGAUCUUUGUAAUUCCUACAGUAUAUUUAAUGUAUAAUUUAUAUGAAAAGGACGCUUGAUUUGUAGUUGUAAAGUUUUGUAUACUUUUCAGUCUGUUUGUUUUUAUAUUUCCCCCCUAAGGCUAAGAAUAUCUCCACAAUGGACAACGCCUUGUAAAUAAUUAAUACCUACAUGAUUGA